UACGAAGGGGGCUAGCGUUGCUCGGAAUCACUGGGCGUAAAGCGCACGUAGGCGGAUCGUUAAGUCAGGGGUGAAAUCCCGAGGCUCAACCUCGGAACUGCCUUUGAUACUGGCGAUCUUUGAGUCCGGGAGAGGUGAGUGGAACUCCGAGUGUAGAGGUGAAAUUCGUAGAUAUUCGGAAGAACACCAGUGGCGAAGGCGGCUCACUGGCCCGGUACUGACGCUCAGGUGCGAAAGCGUGGGGAGCAAACAGG
rnacentral:rRNA from 1 species